AGCUAUGAUGGCGAGACCAGGUAGAUACUACUGAGCAUAUUUUGGAUGCAUGAGGUUAUUCCUAUCCGCCACACGAUAAGAGCAUAUAUGGAUUCACUCGAUUGUAAAAUUGUUAUAAAGGACGGUCGACCCAUUAAAGAAUGUCUGGGUGAAAGCAUCGAAGACAGUUUUGAAAUCGAUUCUCUUCCAUUCUUUGGGAUAUUAUUGGUAGCCGUAAUAUUCAGUUUCAUCAUAUCCUGUAAAUUGUACUUUUCCUGUCAAAAAUUAAAAUACAAUGGACUUGAAAUGUCUUUCGAGGAUAAGACAAAGGCAGAAAAGAUCAGGAAAGUAACGAAAAAUCCGGAUCAAUGAAUUGAAGAACCCGUGAAGCCGAAAAGCUGUUAACUCUAGGCCUACAUACACAUAUAUAUAUAUAUAUAUAUGGUGUAUGUCGAUUCAAUAUUUCAUUUUCUAUAAUGUGAUAAACUGAUCGCGGUCAUUUCGAAUUAUUUUUGUUCAUAAAUUUAGUUAGAAAAUUAUACUUUUUAAAUUUAUUAUUAUUACUGGAUUAAUUUGCUGGGGAGUAGGACUUAAAUGUUUUCUAAUAGUGGUAAUUUUUAUGCAUUUGUUUACGGCUGCUUUCAUUGUUUCCAUUUUCUAUUACUUGUUCUUUUCAUUACUUCGAUUGUUAAAUCUAAAACCUCCAACACGCUGCUUUCUCGAUUAAUGAAUUUUGAAAGUUCUGUUAAAUUGAAAACGAU